rnacentral:lncRNA from 1 species
GCAUGGACUAGUGACUAAUUUUUUCUCAGUUUCUCAUGGUCCACUGUAGAUUGAAGCGCAUUUUUCAUGCAUUUCUUGUACCUCAUGGUCAUAGGGAGAGUUCAAAACCCACAACAAUAUCCUCUCUGAUGCCUCCAUCAUUGCAGCAAACAAAAAAAAGACCUAACGGCAGGUGGCGGCAAGGAGAAGGGGAGGAGGUCGGCAUGCUCUGGACGGCUCAAGAUAGAGAAGGAAAACACCUGAGGGA